CUUAACCCAGCCUAAGCAGGAAAGAUUCAAGAUGAAGGAUUUAUAGAAGAAAUUACUAUCUAGAUAGGUAUUAUACACACUAAGAAUUUGCCUGUGUUAUGAGCUGAAUUGUGUCCCCACUAACACUCAAAAGUUGAAGUCCUACCAGUUCUUCAGAAUGUGCCCAUAUUGUAGAGAUCUUUUUUAAAGACAUACUUAAGUUAAAAUGUGGUCAUUUGGGUGAGCCCUAAUCCAAUAUGACUUGUGUUCUUGUAAGAAAUGGGAAUUUGGACACCAAAGGAUACGCAAGGAAGAUGAUGUGAAGAUACAGGGAGAAGACAGCCCUCUACAAUCCAUCAACCCUGUCAAUACCUUGAUCUUGGAUUUCUAGCCUCUAGAACAGUGAAGCCAUAAACUGGUGUUGUUUAUUUAAUCUACCCAAUCUGUAGUACUUUGUUAUGGCAGUCCUUGCAAACAUAUAUUCUGAUUUCUUUUUCAGGAUAAAGCUCAGAUCUUUCUAAGUAGAGACAAGAGAAUAUGUAAAACAACUAAUGAUGAAAGAUCACAACUUAUUUGGGAAACUUUUAACAUGUGAAACCUGGUAUGAAGGCACUGAAGACAGACUGUAACUUUAACAGUAUGAAAGAGUUUUGCUGCCACCUAAUGGAAAGCCUCAUCUUCUGCCCUUAUGGAGACCCCACCAUGAUGGAGUUCAUAAGCUAAACCACAAGGUACUUAUUCCAGGUUGGAAAAAGCCUGUUAUCUGGCAGGUAGAAAAGGAGACAAGUUAUCAGAGGGCCUGGCAGCAGCAGGCACUGCCAAUGCUUGUUGAACGAGUGAUCAAAUGAUGAGUAAACGGAUGAGCAUCAGCAAUACAGUGGACGAAAGGAGU